UGAGAAGUAGCAUAAAUUAAAGUGUGUUCUGUUUACACCAGAGAGGUAAUUUUACAUUUUUCUCAU
rnacentral:tRNA from 1 species